UGUACUCUGAGCAGAACCUCUAAGAAU
rnacentral:piRNA from 1 species